rnacentral:lncRNA from 1 species
CUCGGUAAGGAGGGCCAUUCACUUGUGAAAGGAAGAAGCACUGCAACCUGCUGUCAGCCUGGAAUGUUGGUGUAAAAUCCAUAAAAUCCAUGCAGUUAUGCUGCCUUCACAGUGAAGCCUCCAGCCAGAUGGAAUUUGCAUGUGUGAGGAGUUUGUGCUGGGUGGAAAUAUCUGAAAUACUGCAGUUACCUGUUGGUUGAAGAACAAGCAUCCAUGGAUGAAUUGUCCCACUGACUGACCAAUACCACACAAUAAAAAAGUCCCUUUCCUGCUGGGGUUUAGCAGUGCUCUUGUUUCCAUGUCUGCACAGACACCAUGCAUGCUGCAAAUUAAAUGAUAAAAUUAAAAAUACAAUGUUCCCUACUGGUUUGUGUUUAUGCAACAGAGAGAGCCAAGGAGAAGAUGUGACCCAUACACUCUGGUUAUAGAACUGUCAUCUUAUGGAAAUUUACUAUUUUGGUAAUCCUAGGUACUCCUCUGGGACUCUGGCCUUUGUCUGUGUUGAUAUUUCCACCUGGAGGAGCUGAGGCCUAGAACAAGUUGCUCAAAUAAAAUGCCAUAACACUGCCAAGCCAAAGGAAAUACCAGUGGUGGAAGAUAGAUGGAUAAGCAAAUUCAGUGGGUUACUUGCAGGGAACUUGGAGCUACUCAGACAUGUGAAGGGAAGAAUAUUCACUGAAGAAGCAGAGUGGAACUCUCCUCCAUUUAAAGGUAUUCGUCGACUGAAGUGGGAAUAUUCAAAGCAUAUUUUUCACCUAUUAAGCAAGUACCAGCUGCUGGAACAGAAAGAGAAUGGAUCCAGCAGGCUCCUUCCUUUGCUCUGAGAGCUCUGAGAGCAUCUCAAAGGCUGCCCUAGGCUCUAAUGUCUGGUAAAAGAUCCCAGAGGAUGAGAAUUGGUGAUGACAACUCCAGCAACACAAACUCCCAUCUCUCUCCUGCCUGGAUAUGACUUCAGAGGAAUUUUCUUAAGGAUGUGGGAUGCCCUUCACAUAUAACAUGAAUGUUUUAAUAUAUGGAAAAUUCAGUCAAACCGUGGUAUCUCCAAUACAAAAAUAGCUGGUUCUCCUUCUCUACCAUUCCUGCAACAAUAAAGCCACUAUUGAACCUUUUGUGUUUAUUCAAAGAGCAGCAAAACUUACUGGGAACCAGGAAUUACUUAAUAAUAAUGAGUGUGACUAAGUAAAAGGCCUAAAAGACAGCUCAGACAUCUAAAAAUACAAUUAAAGAGACAUGAUUAGAAACAACUGAAUGAUAUUAAAGAGCAGUGAAGGAUUGGUUUUGGAGCAGAAAAGCUUUCUGACAAAAAUACCAGUCUAAGUUUACAAGAGCUGUUUACUACACAAAAUGCUGGAAGCAUUGAUGGACUAGUCAAAUUUAUGGAAUCACCAGAAAUUCAGUGCAAGCCAGAAAAAUUGUUUGGUGAAAGUCCUCUAAGUGCAUGCCAUUUCUAACUCCUGUUAGUGCUGGGUGCUGUGGGACUUCGAGUUCUGAGCAAGAUAAAAUUAGAAAGCAACACAAGCCUCAGAAGUUGUUCCUCUUUCAGCUAUUUCUGAGGGCACCUUUAAUUGGCAAUAUUCAAAUACAAACUCCUCCAGAUAUGAGUAAGGACACAGUCUUCAACUCUCUCCUAAAUUAUUCCAGGUUUCUCAGUGAAAGAUAAUUUUAGUGUAAGCUAGUUAUCUCCAUUUAGAAUAUUAGGAGAGCAACUUGGGUAGAUUCUGAGCUAAACUUUCUUGAGACUGGUUUGCAAUGAAAGAGAGAGAAAAGUAGCACAGUAAAGUAAUCAGCAACAGAAUGACUUUUGGAAAGCUUUGAUAUGUUCACAAGGCUCUGAACACUGAAAAAUAUGUAUAAAUUAUAUUUAUGUCUUAAUAAACACCUCAGAAGGGAAUGAAGAACCACUUCUUGGGUUGAUGGUCUGGCUGCAGUAAUGCAUUGCAGCCCUGAGCAGAGAGCUGCUGUUUGUAUCCCUCUCACAUUUAAAACAGCACAAUGUUCUGACUAAACAUAAUUUGUCAAGGAUGUCUGAUUCUAUCUCCAGUUUCUACACGUGAUGAAAAUUCAUUGACAGCAGGUGAGGUUCUUGCACACUCAAGGCAGGCUGUGAGAUUCCUGACAGAGGAACAGGAGCUGGCAGUGCUGCUGGGGCCACCAGGAGAGCUGAGGGCCACACUUCUGCAGUGUCACCCAUUUUUCACCACAACAGUGUCACAGAGACCAAAAUGCAGUUCACCUCCCGUAACCUGUUUUCCCUUUUGCCAUGGGAUAACGCAUCUUCUGAAUGCCAUUUGUUCUAAAAAAGGAUCUCAAACAAACUGAAAACAAUCACCUGUGGAAACUUAAUGCUGUAUAGUAUUUAUAUUAUAAUAUUUGUGGAAUUGGUGAUAUAUCCUUCAAAAGGUAAAACACCCCAAGUAUUAUAUAAAAAAACAUACAGUUCUUGUUCUAGGUUUUGGCAGCAUUUUUAGGAAAUCUCUGAAUAUCUAAAGAAUAAUAAUAAAAGAGUAAUGUUUUAAACAUUUGAAUCUAAAGAAUAAUAAUAAUAAAAGAGUAAUGUUUAGAACAUUUAUUUAAUAUAAACUUCCAAUUGUAUGACCCCACAGCAGUUCAGAAAGUAUCCUUCUCAGUGUAAUGAGGUACAAUGUUCUGAUAUCAAGGUCAGUUCUUUGAUUCAGUGCUGUCAAGUGCCUCCAAAUAUUGCUAAUUAGGCACAAAUCAGCAUUUGUUUUGAAUCCUUUUUAUAGUGGGUAGAUCUGGUUGCCAGCAAAAUGAGGUCAAAGUCAACAGAGGGGCAAUGAUGUCUGUAUUUCCGGCCUCCACUCAUUUAAAAGCUCAUCUCAUUUCCACUUCAUCAUGUUUAAAAUAGAAAUGAAUUUCACAAAGUAGAUUGAAAUCCAUGAGCAAUUAAAAAAAAUAAAAUUGUGAGUCAAACGCUGUUAUCACUCUGCUAGAGAACUGGACUAUCAUUGCUUCAGUAACACAGCAAAAAUUGGUCCCAUAAUUGACACUGGAUAGAUAGCUGGAAAGCAAAAUAAUGAAGUUGCUCGGGGUGAAUUUGAAGAAGUGAAGUCUUUUAACUAAAGACAAAAUAAUUGGAAAGUUUUAGCUAAGAAAUAAUGGGGAAAUGAACAGAACACUACCAUAAAAGAAGCAUGUGUGUGUUUAGAUAAAAAAAUAGAGCAAUUGAGAAGAAGACAGCAUUGGCAGUGAUUAGAAAAGACAGAAAAUUAGAGAAAAUGACAAAAUGUUAUGCACAGAUGUUGCCUUCUUUAAAGUCAGAAUUUUCUGUGGAGUUGUAUGAAAAGAGAAGUAGAAGUUAGGGUGAAGAAAUGAGACCACAUCACUGCAGAGGGAAUCUUCCUCUAAUGAAGAAUAAAUCACCUGUGGAUUAAUGGUUUCCUCUGGGGCUGGGGUACACAAUGCACUCUGCACUGUUUUUCCCUGAUUUUUUCUGCUGCAUUAAGGUAUGGAAAUUUGGCAGGAAAUAAACGCUCUUGUGUCCCAGCUGGUCCUCAGUAAUCAGAGGGGCUGGGUGAUGUCUGACUCAGUUCAGCAGGCUGAAUUAUUUCUUUAUUAUUACUAUGCUAAAAUACAUUAAUAUACUAUAUAAAAGAAGGAUACUAAAACUACAUACUACUUUAACUCCAACACAACUUGUGACCCUCUCUGAGAGCCCAGCCCCAGGUGGGUUGGAUUGGCCAUCAGCUCAAACAAUCCUCACCAGAAUCCAAUCAAGCAAUCACCCCAGGUAAUCAAUUCCCCAAACACAUUCCACAUGGGAAAAACAAGGAGCAGAAACAGAAAUUGUUCUCUCUUUCAUUUCUCUCUGUGCACUUCUGUGAAAAAUCCUGAGAGGGAGAGAAAAGUGUUUGCCACAAGUACUGCAGGCCUGGCUGAGUUCAGUGAGAGCUUGCACAAAUCCGAUGGCUGAUUCAAGCAAUGGGAAAGGAGAGUCAGGAUUACAGAAUUCAAAUUCAGGUAAAAAAUGCACUAACUUGCAGAGUGUUACUGUGUGUGGAGACAGAAGUGACAGGGAUAUUACUGAUGCAUCUAUGUACAUCUAUAACUAUAAAUAUCCAAAGGUCUGCUCCACUAUGGGUAUAGGUGACUUUCUGGCAUCCUGUCAGGACAGGAGGAGACACACAGUCCAUCAGCAGAUCCUGAGAAAGCAGAGGUGUUUCCCCCUCUCUUGUUUUAAUUCUCCUUUUUGUUUUCUUUGUCUGUCAGAGCUGCAGGCACACAGCACAGCCUGCCCAGGAGCUGUGCACGUGCAUCACCAGUGGCAGCAGGUCCCAGGCACUGGAAUUGGCACCAAGGCACAGCAGGGCAGUGCCUUGCACAAAUGUGCCAGUGAAACGUGUGCAUAUAUUGCAGCCAAAAUCUGGUGGUUUUGAGGGGCAGCUUGCCUGGGUUCAGCUGAUGCUAUUUCCCUGCAAUCCUCAGUUGAAACUACUGGCUCGAGUUGCUUAAUAUUCAGAAGAAUACAUCACUAAUUUAGUAUUUCUCUUUUUUUUUUUCCCCCUGGAAAAUUUCUGGGAUCUGUAGGUUUUAUGCACUCUGUCUCAUCACCACAGUUUUGCUUCUCGCAUCUCUGCCUUCCAAGCAGCUAAUUCAUUGAAACAAACUGUGUAAGAGAAAUAGAAUCAGGUAAGAAAAGUAUUGCUCUGUACUUUGCAACCAUCCUGCAAACAGAUAACACUCAUUAAAAUACCAAACUUGGUCUCAUCCAGCCUGUGAUCUGAGUGGGAUGCAAAGGUGAUUUCUUCUACUCUCAAAAAUUCCUUUUUCAAGAGUAAAUCAUCAUGUGUAGUGACAGUAAACAGCUUCAGAGACUCCCUGUUUGCUUCCUGGGGUGCAUUCAGCUUGGUGGGAGGAUGCACACUCCUGUUUCUGGGUGCCUUCAGCAGCAGGAGUGCCAUGGCCUGGUGCUGUGCCUCUGUCACAGGUCCCUUACACUCCCCCAGAAAAGGUGCACUGUUAACUCACAACUAUUAUGUUUUUAGGAGCAAUAUGUAUUUUAAAAUUUAAUUUUUAAUAUAUAUUUUUUAUUUUUUAAUUUCAUUUUUAAUAAAAUCCUUUUAUAAAAUAUACACUUAAAACCAUCAGCAAUGCCCAAUAAAUAAAUACCCAAGUAAUACCUUAUAUAUAUAUAUGCACCAAAUAAAUAUAAAAUAUACGUAUAUAAUAGAAAUAUCCUUUCCUACACAAUUUAGGGAAGAACUCAAAUAAAAGAUUCUAAACUUUAGCUUGAUGAUAUGCAUAUCUAUCAGCAUCUUACAGUAUUUGUUCAUUCAGCAUUAAAAUUGAUUCAAGGUGGUUUCUAGUAACAACAUCAUUUGCUCCUCCCCCUGCUCUUCACUCUUUUAAAUACCAUUUAAAUAUUUAAUGUAAGAUUUUUCCUUUGCUGUUUCUAUCCCAAGGUUAAAGCUUUUUAUUUCCAUGCAGCACUAAAAUGGACUUUUGAAAUAAGCAAUGUGGUUGCAAGGAUUGCAGCAAGGUUGGAUGUACAAUUAAGAUAAUGGUGGCACUAUCCAUCUGAAUAAUCAUUUAGAUAAUGAUUACUGUAUUGGAACAUUUUAUGAGGUACAUAAUAAAAGGGAAAUCAAAAGGAAUUCCCUUUGAAGAAAUAUUUGGCAUGGGUGGGUGCUGCAACAGCAUAUCUGAAUGAUAAAAGGUGUUCACUAAGACAAAGCUGUAUUCUCUGCUAGGGAAGAGGAGGAUUUAUUUUGUUGCUUUUUUUCCCUGUCCACAGUUAUUUUUUAAAUGCAAAGUGUUGCUUUCUUGAAUGCUCAGUUAUUUCUUGAAAGGAUAUG